rnacentral:rRNA from 1 species
GAUGAACGCUGGCGGCGUGCUUAACACAUGCAAGUCGAACGAAGCACUUUACUUGAUCUUUUCGGAGUGAUUGUUUUGUGACUGAGUGGCGGACGGGUGAGUAACGCGUGGGUAACCCGCCUCACACAGGGGGAUAACAGUUGGAAACGGCUGCUAAUACCGCAUAAGCGCACAGUACCGCAUGGUACGGUGUGAAAAACUCCGGUGGUGUGAGAUGGACCCGCGUCUGAUUAGCUAGUUGGCAGGGCAACGGCCUACCAAGGCGACGAUCAGUAGCCAACCUGAGAGGGUGACCGGCCACAUUGGGACUGAGACACGGCCCAAACUCCUACGGGAGGCAGCAGUGGGGAAUAUUGCACAAUGGGGGAAACCCUGAUGCAGCGACGCCGCGUGAGCGAAGAAGUAUUUCGGUAUGUAAAGCUCUAUCAGCAGGGAAGAAGAAAUGACGGUACCUGACUAAGAAGCACCGGCUAAAUACGUGCCAGCCGCCGCGGUAA